CUGUUGUUUAAAUUUUCAUUGUAGACCAAGAUAAAAAAGAAAAAGAUGUGACUUCUUUUCGCGAUUCCAGCCGAUCGCAAUUUUUUGAAACGUCUUCUUCUACGCGUUAUCCGAUAACCUACUGCUUCUAACUUCCCGCAAAAGCUCAAGCAGUUCGGUGCAAUUUGAACAGAGUUGUUCUCUUUACUCCCACAAAGGUGUACGAGUAUCUUCGUUUGUUACGUGUAAAUAUGGAAAUUGACGCAGGUAUAUUCCCUCGUUCAGUUUCGUUUUAACAGAAUAUCCAAGCUGUGACAAGAACCAAAGAAUCAACAGCGAAGAAACAUUCUUCCACUGCAACGUUGAAAGUAUAAUAAAAAUACCAAUGUUCUAAUUAAACUGCAUCAAGCGUCCAAAUACUUGCGCACAAUAGCGUAGCUGUGUAUCAGAUAGCAACGUAUCAAAUAAAUAACAAAUUUUUGCUGCUCCUCCUUAACAUCCGACUAAGACCAGUUGUACUCUGUCGUUUCAUCUCGUAUUUGAAUUUCGUGCACAGAAAUCCAACAUAGAAGUUGGUGAUAAAAGCGAUACGAACUUGUCCAAUACCCGAUACAAAGUACGCUAGAAACACGCUACCUACGAUCAUCUACGUCGGUCUUUCAUCCAUCUUUCACGGAUCACCAAAGAAAUAAAAGAUCAAAAAUUCGCCAGCAAAAGCGUAAAGACAGAACCAGCCGUUUCCAAAGAAAACUCCUCGUUACGAUCUCUGCUUGAAUCGAAGUGAUGAUUCAGUCUACCGAUUAUUUCGUGGUAUUCGUGUGUGGUACUUUUACAGGGUUGUCCUUACAGAAGAUUUUCCCGGCCGUAUCGAUACGUCAUUUCCCGAGGGUUUAGCGCCGGUUUAAUCUCGAAGCGAAGAAAGCUUCGUGGGAGGCCGCGUUUCGUUUCAGCUUGAAGGUGCAGGACCCACCUUGUUCGACAUAUUGAAAACGCCCACCUGCCACUGGCUGCCAGUGGCGGCCUUCCCUACCUGCUAAAUUAACGUCAAGCCUUGCUGAUAUUCAGGCCAACGACGAGAGAUCCUAUACGCUCGUGUCCUCCAGCGUUCGUUAUCAAUCUCGCAGCUCUAUACUGUCAGCGAUAAAAGAGGAGCUCAGUAUCACGCAGCCGAUAUUUCGAUAUAAUACUAGGAUGUUCCAAAAGUGUCUUUCAUCAUCCGCACGCAGCUGCUUUCUUCUGAGAAUGUUCACACGAACACGAAACUUGAUCUAUCAAAUAUUACGGUCUUUGUGUCGACAGAACAAAAUGGAUCAUAAUUCGAUAAAAUAAUAGAAAAUAAGAAAUGUUGUGCACCGAUUAUUUCUUUAUAAAACGAAAGGGACAACCUGAUAGGUCGCUGGCAAACGAAAGAUCGAUAAUUCUUCUCCUUGCGAUCUUUGCGAACACUUCGUACGCGCGUAUUACGCUUGUUUAAAAAAUUUACAAAAUAUUUUAGACAGGAUUGUGGGUAUUGAAAAAAAUUUUUAGGCAUUUCGAAAAUGUAUAUCGCCGAUCGUAAGUACGUACCAGGGCAUGUAAUCGUUACACUUGUUGGAAAAACAAAUUUUACGUUAUUUACGUGGUACAUGGUUACGUUGGUACAAGACAGAUCCGAAAGCAAAGGAAAUAACAGAUUUAUGAUACUAGAUUGACUAGUACUAUAAUACUGGACUAACUGUGCUAGGUAUAACGCUAGAUAACUAAGAGAAUGGAAGUACUGAAAAGCAUACGAAUUCGUAUUAAAUGAUAUUCGAUAUUUGUAUCAAUCGGUCGGCGUUCAUACCGGUUUGAAACACGGCCAACCUACUACUAUUUCCCGUGCUAAUAAAUACAAUCGCGUUAUCGUAUUUAUGAGACCAUUUGCUUCCCUUCGUUUUCCUCCUUACGUUCUGCAUUUCAUCGUAUCAGAGACAUAUAGCGUUGGAAUCACAAAGAAACACAUACGUAUUAUUAUACAAGAAAAAGACAACCCCGUUAGAAAGAAAAUCCUACAUUUUCGACCGGUUAGAUCGGCAAAAAAUACAGGGCCGGCGUGGCUUUCUCCUUAAACAUACAUUCAUAAUUCUGCACUUAAAUUUUACAACGAGGAAUUAUUUAUUUCCAAAUGCUGUGGCAUAUUAUAUAUUCUUUAUAAGAUGAAUAAAUAAUAAUACAAUCCGAUAAUAAUACUAAAUAAUUUUUCUCUCUUUCUUCGACGCCAAAUCUUUCAUAACAUCGUUAAACUCGCUACUUCAUUUUCUAUCGACAGAAUAGCCAGAAAUGAAAAUCUCUCUUGGCUUAUCGAUGAUCGCUGAUAAUUUUCGUAGACCGCGGGGCUGGGUUCCGGCGAACGCGCUCAACCUGCCUUGCUUCGGCCCUGGUUAAAUAUGAAAAAGUGCUCUAACAUCUAUUUAUGCCCAAUAGUGUAUAAUAUCUUUAUGUAAUUAAUCUGUUCGUUUCAAUAAAACACGUUGUAUAUUUCGCAAAGAUCGUCAAAAGUAUUCCAACAGACAAUCGUAAACGCUUCUAAAUAUUGUAAAAUAUAAACUGGUCCAACUAUUGUCAAUUCCUUUGGUCGACGAACGUCCAAGAACAACCAAUACCCGACCGUGGUUUAAUCGAAAGCAAACACGCGAAACGACCAACGUUUAUUUCACGACGUCGUUUAGACGAGAACGUUCGUUUCGUCGUCCGAGGAAUGCUGUCUUUAUCGAAUUUCGAUGCACUCUAGGUAGAAACGAAUCGUUCGCUGUUUAAUCAGUUUCCAAUUGCGUUUCCAGAUUCGACGAGUUUCGACCGCGAUCUUUCGAUCUAAAUCGCGUGUACCGUUCCAACGAGGAACCAACAUCGGCCCACCGCCUGUUCCAUCGUCGUGUUGCUUAUUCUGGGAAAUUAAGCAACGUUAGACGACCGGUCUGAGACGAUCGUAAGGUUUCAUACCGGCUGGCCGAUCGUUCUCAAUCCAACUUUGAUCCGUUCGGGACGCGCGAACGAUUCUCGCCAUUUGUUGCGAAUAAUUAAGGUUAGGCUAGGUUUACGAUACCGACACGCGUCAUUCUUCUCCCGUUUUCCAGGUUACCGUACGAAUACGCUUUCCUAUUAGAUUUCUAGUUGGAGAAACUUAGGUUCGGUCGGCCAAUAGUUUCUAUGCAAGGCGAACUUUGUUCAAGCCUCGUCUACGCCGACAGACAUUGUCUACGAAAUACAUCGUCAGCCGACAGUUGCCGAAACACGUACCCAGACCAUCUGGAGGCAAUGUUGGUGCUUGUCCAUCGCUAGAAGAAUUGCGCCGGAUAUUCGGCUGUGCUUCGGUAUCGACGAGUCGGAGACGAGUUAGACAUGGAACGGCUUGAAGAUUUAGUUCAGAAUCAGAAUUGUAUUAUUAUUCCUUUCGUUCGUCUAGUUUUCUGUAAAUUUUUAUAUUGUCUGAUUAAUCAAUUUCUCGGUGUUUGUUAAUUUAAGAAUUUCUAUAAUGUUAGGUGGACAAAGUAAGUAACGAUGUUAGAACGAAGGCACAAUUUAAAAUGAAAUUUUAGUGCCGAUCUGAUGAAGGUAGCGUUGAUUCCUGACUUUUCAACGAUAGAUACAUACAUCCGCUUGUGCAGUCGUAUUAACAACAAUUAUUGUCGGAAAGAAGGCCGAGAAAAGGUGGUUUUUUGUAAAUCUCCAGAUUUUUCCAACGAUCGAUCGCUUCGUUAUUGGCGCAGAACGAGAAAAUACAGGAUCACGUAACAGAAGGAAACAGCAGCUAUCGAGUGGCGUAGGUGUAAGAUUCAGGUAAUAAGCGAUCGUUACGAGUUGAUUAAUAUUCAAUAUGAAACGCAAAACGCGUACGUGCUUUCAACCUCGCCCUAUAUACGUUUCCCUGUAACCUGGAGAAAUCAGUACACCGAUCAAAUCUCCCUAUUGUAGCCAAAAUUCAAGAUCCAAAGUUACCAGCAAUAUCUUGCUGAAAUUCCCAAUUUCUCUCGCCGUACGAAGACUGGAGCGCAACUUUCGCCUCGAUAAUAGGGAAAGUUGGAUUAAAGGCGUCGAGUUGCAGCGGAUCUUGGGGCGCGUCCUCGAAUUCCCUAGGAAAUCGGUGAAACGAAGCUCGCUUUAACGAUACCAUCGUCAGCUGAGACGGUGUCACAUGGCGAGCAAAGGCAAGACGAAUUCUGUUACAAGGAAACGAGGCUCUAACAAGCGCAAUAUGUAGAACAGGGUGGUGAAAUAUUGGCUGCUGGAACUUCGGACGAACACAGGCAGAAAGGCAUUCCUAGACGCAAUUUCCUCACCCAGGCUAAACAAUGUUACGCGCGUAGUAUGAUAUUAUGUAGCUUAUGGGGUUGGGAGGCUAACGUCGGCUGGCGAAUUUAGGGACUUUGCGAACGAGGGUGGAAAGAUUUGUGGGCAAUGCGCGCGUUAAAAGCGAAGGAUGGUCGAAUAGAUGCGAACGUAUGAUAAUGCGAGAAAUUUGCCUGCUCUUCUGAAGUAGAAUUUAAAUAAAUAUUUAAAUUUUGAGAGAGAGAGAGAGAGAGAGAGAGAGAGAGAGAGAGAGAAAGAGAGAAGUUUGGAAAUUUCAAAAUUUGGAAAUUCGAUAUUCCGUGUGAUGGUGAAUUAGAAAGUUCGUCAGUUUGAGAAUUAAGAAGCUCGAAAGAUUGAAGAUUCAAGUAUCUACGAUCUGUAUGAUUUAAUAAUUUGCCAUUUGCGAGUUGGGAAAUUUUCAAGUACGCACAACUUGGAGAUUGGAAAUUUUGCUAACUCGAUAUCUUGAGAAGUUGAAGGUUCGGGAACCGAGGGUUUGAAAAUUGACAAUUUUCGAGGAUGUUCGACAUUUGGAAUUUCGAAAGAACUGAACGCUCCAGCAUUUGAACAGACGACAUUUCGAAAAGUUCCAAGAUCGAAAAUUUACGAGCUCGCGGGCUUACAGCAUUGGUAAUCAGGAUAUUAGAAAAUUUGAAACUUCAGAUUGGUCUGAAAUUUGGCCAACUUAGCGACGACUGUCGUGUCUCGUCAUAGUGCUAACGCGUUAACGUAUUCACGAAGAACUACAAGUCUACAAGUCUACAAGUGUUCCAACACUUUCGUCAGCCAUCGUAAUACAACAUCUUAAGUUUCACUGUUCCCAUACGAAUAUUAACAAAGUUUAGUCGAUGAAUACCGGUACACACUGUACAUUCAGAUUUAUAUUUCAUAGACUUGUCUCGCUUACUCUGUCUGCAUAGCGUUCGAAGCUCCAUUUCGCGUUUCCAUCCAAUUCUCCUGCCGAUGCCAAACCUUCUCCACUCUCUUUCCCCUCCGACCGAACACGCGACGCAAGGGAAAUUUCUCCGCGGAGGGUUUGAAAAGGUCGUGAUUCAUUCUUUAACAGCUAGCUAGAGAAUCUCUCGAUUGCGAUUCUUCUCGCCCCUCUUUUUCGUUAUUGAAGCUUGGAGAGUUUGUGGUUGUUUGGGUAGGAUAUCCUUCUUCUUUUAAUCUUUUUAUGGGGGUUGCAGAAGGUUCCUCGUCUUGGAGUCUUUUAUCUGAUAUUUCACGUCAUUAUUUUUGAGUACGCAGCUUGCACCCCCAAGGAUGGUUUGAAGAUAUGGGGUACAUUGAGAGAAGCGUAACAAUCUUCUUUCUUUCUUCUUUUGAGAUAGGAAUCAUCGCUAUAGGAAGGAUUUUGAGUAAUUUUUGAAUACCCUGGAUUUUUUAAAUUUACAAGAAUUUUGUUGGCCCUCGAAUCGUGCAAGUUCCGAAGUUUUAAAUUUUCAAAUUAUUAAGCAUGUACAGUAGCGUGCAAGAAUUUCCGGCUGGAUAGAUUUUUCAUUGUAUAUUUGUUAUACAACUAUAUAACAAUUGCAUAAUAAUAUUCUGUUACCCAAGAUUCUUUCGAAUAUCGUUUCUAGAAUAUAAAAUUAAAGACUCGUUCUGGCCAGAAAAUUUGUCCACACAUUUACACAACACUUUUCGCUCGAUUAUAUCAGUGAAAUACAAAAUAACGAAACAACAUUUCAAAUCUUUUUAUGACGCUUGCAAAGAGUUCCUCGUCUUCAAGUCUAUUACUUGAUGUUCCAUAUUAUUUUCUCAUUGUUUUUGAAUAGGCAACUUGCUAUUUCUAAAAAUAGUUUGGAGUCUAUAGCGUACACAAAGAGAACGCGUUAUACUCGCGUCUUUUAAAAAUACGAAUAUUUCGAACAUCUUACGUCAAGGCCGAACGAAUUAAACGAGAACGUAACUUACAGAGCUACGUAGAUCGAUGUCAGUUUGCAUGGAAAAUUAAUAAAAAUAUAUAUAAAACAUGACAAAACUCGGUUAUUGAACCUGGUACACGCUGCAUACAUAAAUAAGUAUACACAGGUGCAGAGGUUGCAAAGCCGAACAUAAAGAGCCAGCAGAAUUGAGAUUCAAUCUUAAACUACCCUUUUCUAUCGUUCCUUCGGUGCUUUUCAAAGCGACCAACCCCAUUUUCGAGGGCAACAUUUUCCCAUGACGCCUCUUAAGAAUCGAAAACAAAGGUUCGCUCGGCACGAUAUCUUCAGCUUGGCUUUCGUUGAUCGAAUGCGGAGGCGAGAACGAAAUAAAAGGGACGAGAGACUGAAGUUGAUGGAUAGAAAAUGGGGAGGAUAGACAGUUGUUCGUUAGGAAGAAUGGAUGUCAUGAAUAAAAAGUUGUCCGAGGUUGCCUCGUCGCAAUGCAACGGUUAACGAUUCGGAAUACAAUUUUUGAAUAGAAUUUUUCUAUCCAAUAAUCUUCUUAUCGAUCAUUGUGUAUUUAACCAGGCAAACAUUCAACAGUAUCCAUUCUAAUUGUUCAUUUUCUAAAUACAGCUUGGUUCGGCUUUCGAAUUUUAAAAAAACGAUACGCAGUAUUAGCGUCAUCGAGUAUUUCAAUUGAAAGAAACGUUCGCGCAUUGACCACAUUUACAUCCUGACAACGUCAUUUCUCUAUUCUCGUUUCAUCUCUCUUUUGUUCGCGAAAUUGAAAUAAAUAUUUCAUGGAAUAAAAUUGUUUUAUUUAUAUUUAUUAAAAGAGUUUCCGAAUAAUAUUCAUCGCGAGCGAAUAUCGACAAAAUUCCAGCUUAAAAUACUCUGUUGUUCGUGAAAGAAUAAACGUCAGAAAAAUAACGACUUUUGACCUACUUUCAGCUGAAUGCUACCUUAAACAAGAUAUCGAUGUCAAGAUAGAUUGAAAAUUGAAGCUGUCUCCAUUGUUUCUGAAACAUUGACUUGCGCGCAUAAGCUACACGUGGGUGUUCGUGACGAACAGAGUGACUUACAUUUUAUAUCGCGAUAGGUGGUCGAAGUAGAGUAGUCGAAACCGUAAGCGAGCAAACGUAAUUUACAAUCGUAAGUUCACUUACUCACCGUUGCCAACACGCUUUCUUGUCCUUAGUAGUAAUGACGAAUCUUUCUAAUUCUUUCCACUAAUUGUUGUCACCUCGCAUUGUUUAUUUAUAGAUACCGUCACGAGAAAUUGCUCCAUCAGCGUUUUUCAUUGUCUUUUAACCAACGGUUGCACGCAUUGUCAAAUGCUUGGAUAGAUACGAAAGAUUCUCACGAUUCGUGAAUAAAUUAAGGUUCUUCUACGAUAGAAUCUCUUGCAGGUGAACUUAGACGGAGAGGUCUAAUAUCGUUCGUGAAUCGUAUAAUAAAAUCACGAAAAACGGUUUGAUAACGUAAAUGUAUGUACUGUACAAGUGUAUAGGUAUCCAUUAAUUAAUUAUUUAGUCGACUGAAAGUUUCAUUAACUGCUUUCACAGCACCUGACUAUUUUCUUACUUUCUUAUCCUUCGUGCUAGAAUUUCGAAAGAAAGCAAGUCACGCUAAAGUUUAAAACAGUUCGAUUAAUGUCGACUAAACGUAAUUCGGAUAACCGAGACUCCAAUGUACUAUUACUUGAAUUUUAUUCCACCAUAAUUUCGAUGUUAAAAUUAAAAUAAAGAAAAGUGAGAUGGAGCAGAAACUGCCAUGUGUAUAUAUGUAUAUAUCUCUCUUCUCUCUAUCUCUCUUUUGCCCAUUUUCUAUAUAUUCUUGUGUUUAUAUAUAUAUAAUUUAUAUUAUUUAUAUUUAUAAUUAUGUAUAUAUAUAAACAAAAGGAUAUUUAUCUCAGGAACUACGGGUCAGUCCGAUCUGCUUCAACGCGAUGCAAACUCUCUUUUAAGCUAAUGUUCCCUCAAUUUACGCUAUCCAUUUCCACAUCGUAACACGCUCAAGUACGGUUCAAACGUUUCUGUUUGUCUAAAAAAAAGAAAUCAUCUGCUGCGCUCGAGAUGCCGAAAAGCUCUAACGAAAGAAGACAAUGGGACGGUGUCAGAGGUUGACCCCGCUCUUCCAUUCCUUUAUCUCCUCGACAUAGGGGAAAGAGCCGGAAUAAUGGUGGCCCAGUAUGCAAAGAAGGGUUGGAAACAAAAGGCGACCAAGAUGCAGCGGGAAAAGGAAACGGACGAAUCAAAGGGAGACACAGAUGAGGAAGACGAAGAAGCGAGAGUUUCCCUCGCGACGCUACUUUCCUCACUACCGUUCCAGCUUUUUCUUCGUCUUCCUGCCGCUGGUGCUCCAGUUUUUCCAGUUCUCGCCCCAUCCGACACACUUGACACGCGUGUUAAGUGCACAAACCCUCUUCGCCCUCCUCUGACCGUGUGUCACAAGUACACACGAAGAAUACUAUCGCUUCAAAAUGAAGUCAUCGAUCCUCAAGCAGAGUCGAGACUGGAGAGAAACAUCUCUAAUUAUUUUGUCCGCCUUUGCGUCGAUUACCAUCGAAACGAUCGACGAUACAGUCGUCUAAUGAGUUCUUGUUACAGCGAGUUAUUAUACGCUCUUAUUAUAUUUUAUUAUAUUGGCGAUAAAAAGCAUUCGCACGUAAUUCUAUUUAUCGUGUCAUUGACAUGUUGUUUCAUUAAGGCCAAGUGAAAAUUAAAUUACGUAAUAUUUGGUAAUGGUUUCGAGUGGUAAUUAACGCGAAUAAAAGUUGUCAUUAAUUUUACCAACAACGUUUGCGUGCUCUACAUUCGAUAAUAAUCGCCAAAAGACAAAUGAAACUGAAAUCCUUCGAUAGCUAUGGUAGUUGCAGCGUCAAGAUAAAAGCUCUUGGAAAGAUCCAAGUCUCGCGAGAUAACACAUUUAAUUCGCGUGUUUCAACGAUGAUUGGAAUACAAUAUAAAAUCCAGAAUUAAGGGUUCUCCAUCUAUGGAUUUUCUUUUUGUAAAUAUACUCUUCUCGGUUUAAAAUAGAGAUUCCGUAGAACCUUGAACGCCUGAUGGAACAAUUGGUUCGACUAUCGAUUUUUGUAGAUCGAAGGUACAUCAAGUUUUUAAGUGGUUAAAUCCACGUAUGGUUAACACAGUGGCUAGAAAAGGUAAUCGCGCGUAGCUUUAUUUUCCAGCGAAGCUCUUUUCCUAUCAGAUUCUACGUCCCAAUUUCGUGCUAUCGAAAUAAAAAUUCGAAACUUAUCCUAUGUUCACAAGUAACAAAUAUAUUCUAAAUCCUGUAUCAUAGAGAAAAAGCUAGCGACAAAGAUUCUCGUGACGCAAUUAAUCGAGUUUACGAAUAAGCGUCUGCCUGUUCACGCGUUCGCUAUGUUCGCCGACAAAACACGACCUAGAUACGGCGUAUCAAUUAAAAAACCAUAAAGCUGCGAAGAAAACUUUCGCAAUAAUUCAUCCAGACCGCGCAAGCCAACUUUCCAACUACGGAGCUGCGUUUAGUAUUAAAAUGAUACGUUAGCGUACAUUGAUGGUAAUGAAAAUCCAAUCAACGAUGAACACGUUGAAAUUAAAGGAAAAACGAACGAUUUAUCUCCUCCAACGAUAUCAAGCAUGAAAAUCGCUUUAAUAUACUGUUAUGAAGACGAAUGGCUCGUAUAUUUCACGAUCGCGUUCUCCAACAAAAACCAGCCGCGCAAAGGACAGAUGAAACAAAAGAAAAGGGAAAAAGAGGAAAGAAAAUUUAUCGAACGAUAAUGCUGAACCUUAAAAUAUCGACGCGUGGCGAAAUCUUUGGUCGAACAAGAAAGCUCUCGGAUAGUCUAUGAAAUCUUUUAAAACAAUGCUCGUAAAGGAGCACACGAGCACCGUGAAACGUUAUUUCCGCCGAAAGGGUUCGUGACUGGCUUUUAUUGACCCAUGGGAAUAUCUCGUCCUCGGAGCAUCGAAUCACGCUGCCGUGAAACGAAUCGCCGUUGUAGCUGAAUAAACUCUUGCAGUCUCUUUUACGUGCCAAACGAUAGCCGACUUUUUCUCUCGUUGUCGCAACGACAACGAGGCGGUACGUUUUUACCGAUGAUAUCCGAUAAAAGCGACGUAUCGAAAGCUGUUUCGACUCGAUCUGGCGAUAUUUCCUGGCCGAAUGUGGCGAGGAAUGUUGCACGAUAUUUCCAAGGAUCGCCUAGAAUGACGCAUAGGGCGUAUAACGUUGCUGUCGUGUUUGAAGAAAAAUUAGAACAGUCGGUGGUCUCGUACGAAAUAUAACGAUCGAUCUAGAUCCAAACUGAUAUCCGAAAGGCAAUUUGAAAUUUAGAUUAAAACGGUCAUCCACUGUCUGACUAUUAAUAAAUCAAAUCGUGUCGAUUAACGUUAGAUCAUGGUGGCACGAUAGUAAUACAUCUACACGUGUCUAGAUCAGUCAACACUGUAAAUGCUUGGUGGAUCGCGUGUUCGACAACGUCCCUGGUGAUCCAUUAGAUACGAUACCAGCACAGAGUGUCUCUACCUCAUUAAAUCCGUACAGGGGAAGGAAGGAAGGAAGCUAACGAGGAUUAGAUGCAAUAAUUAAACUUCUACCUUCGUCAGGAUCUUGACCUACCACAUAGGAAUAUUUAUAGACAAGAAAGACUCCGCAUACAGAGAGUAAUCUCUGCAUUUUGCAACGUAAGAUUUAUACCGAUGCUUUGCAGAUGAAUAUAUGUAGAAUUAUUUAAAUUGAUCCGAGAUGUUUCCAAUAAGUACAUCGAUUUCUUUUUUAAUUUAUUAGUUCAACAGCAGAAGGUUUAAGAAAGGAAACGAGUCUAUCCUGAAUUAUUGUAAUGUAAUUUACUUCGCAAGAUAUAUAGAUAGGCUCAAACCCUGUUGCGCUCAAUUUCAUCGAAGAAUAAAAAUCGAGAUUCGACGUAUAUAUUUUGAUAUUCGAACGGGCAAGGAAUACAGAAGAAACAACGAUAAAUAGGAAUCUGCCGCAAGUAUUAUUUACCUGUAAAUGAAAUUCAAAGAUCCUUCUUCGCCACCAAAUCAUAAGAUAACAAUCCAAUACAACGCACGAAAAGAUCUUUUCGAAAAGUAAAAUCUCUCGUGAUAUUUCAAUAUCAAAAGAAUAAGAAGCAAAGAGAGUUUUUCUCCCUUGUGGUCCUAAAAAUUCUCUAUCUUCUGGAUCACGAGAGACACAGUGUUUUUAGACCUAUGCAUUAAUGGUAUAUAAACUAUCGAUCUUCUUAAAGUAGGUACAAUUCGUAACUGCCCUGAUAUAUUGGGUUGGCAACUAAGUGAUUUUGUCAUUAGAUGAUAUCGACAAAAUCUGCAUUCACUUAGUUGCCAACCCAAUAAAACUUCAUAAUCAACUAUGACAUUGCGUAUCAUAACAAUUAUGAAUUGCAGCUAGUUAUACAAAAUAUAAAUUUAUGGAGAUAUGAUCGAACAGUUCGUGUAAUUAUUUUUUUUUUUUUUUUUUUUUUUUAGAGUGACGUAUUUAUUCCUUAAUAUUUAUAUUCUCCUGCCCAAAGUAAUCGCCAUUAAAAAUAAUACAAUUUUGUUUUUCCCAGUUCUGAAAACAUUUUUGGAAUUCACUUUGUCUUAUGCUGCUUAGAUCGCUCAGUAUUUUUGUUUUAUAUCUUCAGUGCUUUGAAAUUGUCGUAGCUUGAAAGUUCGUAGCUUUUCUCAUUCUUGGAAAUAGAAAGAAGUUGUACGAUGCCACAUCUGGUGAAUAUAGGCAUUGAGAAAUCAUAUUGUCUAUUUCCCAGAAAGUUUCUAAAGAGCAACGAGCAGGUUGUUCCACAAAAUCGCCGAAUGUUCGGUACUAGAACCGACUUAAUAGACAAGCAAAUCUGAAGUAAUCGAACAAUCCAAAGAAAUAAACCGAAGUGGGUUACCAACAAGUGGAUCGACAACGUAAAACAAUCGUUUUCUCAAUCGGGAAAUUGCAAAAUUGCUAGAACUUUUUCAUCAAACCUCGUACACUCAUUGUCGAAAAGAUGCAAAGAAUGUUCAAGCAACUAAACUAAUCAGAAUUCUCACUGAUGAAUGUCUGAGAAAUAACAGAAUAUUCCUGCCAUUAAAUAUCAAUGAAAUAUCAAGCUUCUCUCUGUACAAAAUUCCAAAAUUCCCAACUUCCUAACGUUUUGAGACGUCGACGUUCAAAGAUCACCGAAAGAGCCUCGGAAGUUCGAAAAUAUCUAAAUAUCGCAACAUGCAAACUUCUGCAAACAGCUGAAAAAUUCCAAAUUCGCAAAGUAUUCGCCAAGUUCGUUGAACGAUGAAAAUUCAAAAGUUUCACGCGAUAUGUUGCAGGACCUACGUGCCAUCGAAUCUGCCAAGAAACUGUCAAAAAUCUUUCGCCAUAUCCGUAAGUAACAAAACCUGAUCGCACGAAAACCUCGAAAAAGUCGAAAGCUCGAAAGUGAACAAACCGCUGCGACAGUCGCGUCUCUCUUUCAUUGAAUGAAAAACGAGCGCGCGUAUCUGCCAUCGCGUAGUUAAAUUCCCUCGGCUCGCAUUCCGCAAUUCGUUCCUCGAUAUCCGUAUUUGCAUUCGAGCGGAAGACGAUCGCGCUGCGAAGAAAUCCGCCCCAAUCGACCAAAGUGUUUACGUCCGAUGAUCCGUCUCUUCGCUGUGGAAUCGAAAUUCCGCGCCCUCCAAACGAAAUUUGGCCUAUGAACGUAGAGAAAAUAAAUAGGGUUGAAGCACGUGUGUUGGCCACACGGUCCGUGAAACGACGUCCGAGGAUAGGACGUCGUAAAAGAAUCCUGGGAUCUACUAAAAAAAAAAACUGAUGACCUCCACAGGAUGAGAAAAUUUACUAUUUCAUUGCCUACGGAUUUUCCAUCCCCACAUCUCUUCCGAGGACAUCGGAACUCUAUAAAACGGAAAAGGAGCAAAAGCUAGUGAUAAUCGAACGUAGUCGGUGAUGCGUCAUAAUAGAUAGUCGACAGCAGUUCACGAUAGUCGCUGGUAGUCGCGUGGUUAGUCCAUCAGACAGAUAGACACAGUCAGUUCGUACCAAGUCUGUAUCAAGUUUGUAUUACUUCCGUAUCGUCAUCGAUUAUGCGCAAUGUGCGUCGUUACCAUCUAAAAGAAUGCAAUAAACGUUGUUAAAGUUACACACCGGGGUAAUUUGAUAUUACCCAACACAUCCUGACCACCCCACGCGGCCCACCAUUGGCGCGCUGCGCCAUCAAAAUGCAUGCACCUUAGGGCCUGAGUAAACAAGAAGAUUCGACGAUGCAGUCAGCCUGAAAGCAAAUUUGCUGUUCGUGGCCGUCCGAAUGGAGAAUUUCGCAUGCAGUGAAUGGGAAACAGUGUGAACGAAUCGCUUCUAUUCCAGAACGUGGUAAUUGCUUGUGUCGAAGGAACCUUGCGAUCGGGGGAUGCGUGUGCUUCUCGUUGCGAAGAAAAUCGCGGUGAGAUAGGAGAGUACAAUUUAGGAUUCAUGUACGUGGUGUCUUAGUAAUUACCAUGCAAUUUUAGUUUGCGACAAUUUUGUGUAUAAAGAGAAAAAAGAGAGAGAGAGAGAGUAGCAUGUUAUCCAUGUGGAAUCAAAUUUUGUCGUACAACGCUUUGUCUUUUGGGCGAGUCGAGUCUUGAAAAUUACUGGCCGCCGAGAGAUAUUGGAACGUACGUAACAAAAGUGAGAAAAUGGAGAAUAGGAGAGAAUUUGAGAAGAAAGUUGAAGAACGUGAAAUAACGAGGAAAAAAGAAGAGAUAAUGGAAAUUACAGGGGAGGGAAGUUAAAGCAGUAACAGGCAGAAUAAGAAAUGAAAAAGCCAACGAUACAGUGGGUGGAAAAGAACCGACCACGAAAUGGAAGACGUGGUAGAUAUAGUAGAAAGAGAAUGAAUGAUUACAAAUGAAGAGAAUUAAGGAAGUGACAGGCAGAAUAAGAAACGAUGCGAGUGGGUAAAAGAAGGAAGAACGACCACGAAAUGGAAGAUACAGCAGAUGGAAAGAGAAUGGGUGAUUAGAGAAGAGGAAAAUUAAAGAAGUAACAGGCAGAGUAAGAAAUGCAAACACGAACGACGCAAAUGGUAGAAAAAACGACUAGAUGAAAGAAAUAGUAGAUGGAAAGAGAAUGGAUGGUCGGAGAGGAGGAAGAUUAAAGAAGUAACAGACAGGGUAAGAAACGGAAAAACAAACGACGCAAAGGGUAAAAAAAAAGAAAAAAAGAAACAACCACUACGAAAUGGAAGAAAUAAUAGAUGGAAGGAGAAUGGAUGGUGAGAGAAGAGGAAAAUUAAGAGGAAGAGAAGUGGAUUGGAGCUUUGUCCUUCGGUCCUUGGGACUUUCGUCCUCGACCCGAGAAAAGCCCGCAUUAGAUGUCCUUUCCAGCCCCCGGGCUUCCCACCCUCGCCAUUAUACCUUGCCUAGUGGCCUGCUUUUCUGCCGCAAACCUCGCUCGUACCCCUUUUGCCACGGCCACCGCCACGCUAGUAACGAAGGCAAGAAACGCAAGAGCGAAAUAUAGCGAGAGAACGAGAGAAGAGAAGAGUAGACGAACGAGAAGGAAGGAAUAAGUGAGUUAGUGAAUAAUUAACACUAGAACCUUGCACGAGGUCGUUUUCUCGCUGAGCACUUGCUUUUCUUUUCUUUCUCGUUAUUCCGCUACUUCUUUAGUCUUUGCGACUUUCAUAGUUUUUUUUUUUUUUUUUUUUUUUUUUUUUUUUUUUUUUUUUUUUUUUUUUUUUUUUUUUUUUUUUUUUGAAGUUUUAUAUCCUUU